rnacentral:rRNA from 1 species
UACGUAGGGGGCAAGCGUUUGUCCGGAUUUAUUGGGCGUAAAGCGCGUGUAGGCGGCCUGGAAGGUCCGUUGUGAAAACUCGAGGCUCAACCUCGAGACGCCGAUGGAAACCAUGUGGCUAGAGUCCGGAAGAGGAGAGUGGAAUUCCUGGUGUAGCGGUGAAAUGCGCAGAUAAUCAGGAAGAACACCCGUGGCUAAGGCGGCUCUCUAGUACGGUACUGACGCUGAGACGCGAAAGCGUGGGGAGCGAACAGG